CCUACGGGAGGCAGCAGUGAGGAAUAUUGGACAAUGGGCGCAAGCCAAAUCCAGCCAUGCCGCGUGCAGGAUGACGGUCCUAUGGAUUGUAAACUACUUUUAUACGAGAAGAAACACUGCUUCGUGAAGCAGCUUGACGGUAUCGUAAGAAUAAGGAUCGGCUAACUCCGUGCCAGCAGCCGCGGAAAUACGGNGAAUCCAAGCGUUAUCCGGAAUCAUUGGGUUUAAAGGGUCCGUAGGCGGUUUAAUAAGUCAGUGGUGAAAGCCCAUCGCACAACGGUGGAACGGCCAUUGAUACUGUUAAACUUGAAUUAUUAGGAAGUAACUAGAAUAUGUAGUGUAGCGGUGAAAUGCUUAGAGAUUACAUGGAAUACCAAUNGCGAAGGCAGGUUACUACUAAUGGAUUGACGCUGAUGGACGAAAGCGUGGGUAGCGAACAGGAUUAGAUACCCUGGUAGUCCACGCCGUAAACGAUGGAUACUAGCUGUUGGGAGCAAUCUCAGUGGCUAAGCGAAAGUGAUAAGUAUCCCACCUGGGGAGUACGUUCGCAAGAAUGAAACUCAAAGGAAUUGACGGGGGCCAGCACAAGCGGUGGAGCAUGUGGUUUAAUUCGAUGAUACGCGAGGAACCUUACCAAGGC
rnacentral:rRNA from 1 species